rnacentral:rRNA from 1 species
UGGGGAAUUUUGGACAAUGGGCGCAAGCCUGAUCCAGCCAUGCCGCGUGCGGGAAGAAGGCCUUCGGGUUGUAAACCGCUUUUGGCAGGAACGAAACGGUGCGAGUUAAUACCUCGCGCUAAUGACGGUACCUGCAGAAUAAGCACCGGCUAACUACGUGCCAGCAGCCGCGGUAAUACGUAGGGUGCAAGCGUUAAUCGGAUUUACUGGGCGUAAAGCGUACGCAGGCGGCUUGAUAAGACAGGUGUGAAAUCCCCGGGCUUAACCUGGGAACUGCAUUUGUGACUGUCAAGCUAGAGUUCGUUAGAGGGGGGUGGAAUUCCACGUGUAGCAGUGAAAUGCGUAGAGAUGUGGAGGAACACCGAUGGCGAAGGCAACCCCCUGGGACAGGACUGACGCU